GAGGAAAGUCCGGACUCCAUAGGACAGGGUGAUGGCUAACGGCCAUCCGCGGCAACGCGCGGAACAGGGCAACAGAAAGUAAACCGCCGAUGGCCGGAUAUUUGCUUCGGCUCAGGCAAGGGUGAAACGGUGCGGUAAGCGCGCACCGCGACUGCGGUAACGCAGUUGGCACGGUAACCUCCACCUGGAGCAAUUCCAAACAGCGGGCGCGCAUCGUUUGCGAUGCAGGCGUGGUCCGCGUCGCCUGCGGGUAGGAAGCUUGAGCGCGCCAGCAAUGGCGCGCCCAGACGAAUGAUUGUCACGCGCAGUUUUUGCUGCGCGCACAGAAUCCGGCUUA
rnacentral:RNase_P_RNA from 1 species